CUUCGCACAAGGGCCCCUGAAAUCAUGCCAUCUAUUAAUAGAUUCUUUGCCAAUCCGAAAUAAAGCAUGUGCAUCUGAGCUACCUGAAUUUUCAUGAACCUCCUCUUUCUGUUCUACUUGCUGAAUUGGUGAAGAACUUUAUAUAGCUUUGAGAUUGUCAUGCAAUUGACUGUUGUUUCACUUUAAAUGUGCACUUGCCUCAGUAACAUGUACCUCAAGGAGAUUUAUGACCAUCACUAUGUCUGUUGUUUGUUUCUUUGGUUGCUUAAAGAAAGGAUUAAUCUGUCACUCUUGCAACCUUCUGAUUUUGCCCUGUUCUAUGAAGCUAUCAGCCAUGCUGGCUCUUUUAUGCCUUCUAGAACAAGUAUCUGUUUUGGGAAACCACUGGAUCAUAAUUUGCUGGACCUAUGGAGCCUAGUUAUGGUGCCCGACAUACUUCUGAACUGACUGUAGAUGAAAACUCUUGUGACAUUUAGCUAUUCUGCUAAAUGGAAUUACGUGGUAUCUCCAAAAACAGAGAUACACUGGUUGGGCAUCAAAACAAGGCCAUAGGCAAUAUCUCUAAAGAGUUCUUAAAAUUAAGAUCCAAUGUUUCAAACUUUUGGAGAUUUUCAUGGUUACAACUCAUUGAUCUUUCCUACAGUAGCCUCUGUACUAACUGGACUUCUAAAUGAUCCGAGAUAACUUGGCAUACUAGGCACCUGACCAUGGCUUGUGUUUGCACCCGAAUCAUUUCAUUGGCC
rnacentral:lncRNA from 1 species